CUGCUGGCACGUAGUUAGCCGUGGCUUUCUGGCUAAUACCGCAUAGGUCUUUGAGUCACCUGGCUUAAAGAGGAAAGACGGCUUCGGCUGUCACUGAAGGAUGGUCCCGCGGUGCAUUAGCUAGUUGGUAAGGUAAUGGCUUACCAAGGCAAUGAUGCAUAGCCGACCUGAGAGGGUGAUCGGCCACAUUGGGACUGAGACACGGCCCAAACUCCUACGGGAGGCAGCAGUAGGGAAUCUUCCGCAAUGGACGAAAGUCUGACGGAGCAACGCCGCGUGUGUGAAGAAGGUCUUCGGAUCGUAAAGCACUGUUAUUAGAGAAGAACACCCGGUAGAGUAACUGUUACCGGUCUGACGGUAUCUAACCAGAAAGCCACGGCUAACUACGUGCCAGCAG
rnacentral:rRNA from 1 species